rnacentral:rRNA from 1 species
CCUACGGGUGGCAGCAGUGAGGAAUAUUGGUCAAUGGACGAGAGUCUGAACCAGCCAAGUAGCGUGAAGGAUGACUGCCCUAUGGGUUGUAAACUUCUUUUAUAUGGGAAUAAAAUGUUCCACGUGUGGGCUUUUGUAUGUACCAUAUGAAUAAGGAUCGGCUAAAUCCGUGCCAGCAGCCGCGGUAAUACGGAGGAUCCGAGCGUUAUCCGGAUUUAUUGGGUUUAAAGGGAGCGUAGGUGGAUUGUUAAGUCAGUUGUGAAAGUUUGCGGAUCAACCGUAAAAUUGCAGUUGAAACUGGCAGUCUUGAGUACAGUAGAGGUGGGCGGAAUUCGUGGUGUAGCGGUGAAAUGCUUAGAUAUCACGAAGAACUCCGAUUGCGAAGGCAGCUCACUGGACUGCAACUGACACUGAGGCUCGAAAGUGUGGGUAUCAAACAGGAUUAGAUACCCUGGUAGUC